rnacentral:rRNA from 1 species
GGGUUGUGAGGUUAAGCGACUAAGCGUACACGGUGGAUGCCCUGGCAGUCAGAGGCGAUGAAGGACGUGCUAAUCUGCGAUAAGCGUCGGUGAGGUGAUAUGAACCGUUAUAACCGGCGAUUUCCGAAUGGGGAAACCCAGUGUGUUUCGACACACUAUCAUUAACUGAAUCCAUAGGUUAAUGAGGCGAACCGGGGGAACUGAAACAUCUAAGUACCCCGAGGAAAAGAAAUCAACCGAGAUUCCCCCAGUAGCGGCGAGCGAACGGGGAGGAGCCCAGAGCCUGAAUCAGUGUGUGUGUUAGUGGAAGCGUCUGGAAAGGCGCGCGAUACAGGGUGACAGCCCCGUACACAAAAAUGCACAUAUUGUGAGCUCGAUGAGUAGGGCGGGACACGUGGUAUCCUGUCUGAAUAUGGGGGACCAUCCUCCAAGGCUAAAUACUCCUGACUGACCGAUAGUGAACCAGUACCGUGAGGGAAAGGCGAAAAGAACCCCGGCGAGGGGAGUGAAAAAGAACCUGAAACCGUGUACGUACAAGCAGUGGGAGCCUCUUAAUGGGGUGACUGCGUACCUUUUGUAUAAUGGGUCAGCGACUUAUAUUCUGUAGCAAGGUUAACCGAAUAGGGAGCCGAAGGGAAACCGAGUCUUAACUGGGCGUUAAGUUGCAGGGUAUAGACCCGAAACCCGGUGAUCUAGCCAUGGGCAGGUUGAAGGUUGGGUAACACUAACUGGAGGACCGAACCGACUAAUGUUGAAAAAUUAGCGGAUGACUUGUGGCUGGGGGUGAAAGGCCAAUCAAACCGGGAGAUAGCUGGUUCUCCCCGAAAGCUAUUUAGGUAGCGCCUCGUGAAUUCAUCUCCGGGGUAGAGCACUGUUUCGGCAAGGGGGUCAUCCCGACUUACCAACCCGAUGCAAACUGCGAAUACCGGAGAAUGUUAUCACGGGAGACACACGGCGGGUGCUAACGUCCGUCGUGAAGAGGGAAACAACCCAGACCGCCAGCUAAGGUCCCAAAGUCAUGGUUAAGUGGGAAACGAUGUGGGAAGGCCCAGACAGCCAGGAUGUUGGCUUAGAAGCAGCCAUCAUUUAAAGAAAGCGUAAUAGCUCACUGGUCGAGUCGGCCUGCGCGGAAGAUGUAACGGGGCUAAACCAUGCACCGAAGCUGCGGCAGCGACACUAUGUGUUGUUGGGUAGGGGAGCGUUCUGUAAGCCUGUGAAGGUGUACUGUGAGGUAUGCUGGAGGUAUCAGAAGUGCGAAUGCUGACAUAAGUAACGAUAAAGCGGGUGAAAAGCCCGCUCGCCGGAAGACCAAGGGUUCCUGUCCAACGUUAAUCGGGCAGGGUGAGUCGACCCCUAAGGCGAGGCCGAAAGGCGUAGUCGAUGGGAAACAGGUUAAUAUUCCUGUACUUGGUGUUACUGCGAAGGGGGACGGAGAAGGCUAUGUUGGCCGGGCGACGGUUGUCCCGGUUUAAGCGUGUAGGCUGGUUUUCCAGGCAAAUCCGGAAAAUCAAGGCUGAGGCGUGAUGACGAGGCACUACGGUGCUGAAGCGACAAAUGCCCUGCUUCCAGGAAAAGCCUCUAAGCAUCAGGUAACAUCAAAUCGUACCCCAAACCGACACAGGUGGUCAGGUAGAGAAUACCAAGGCGCUUGAGAGAACUCGGGUGAAGGAACUAGGCAAAAUGGUGCCGUAACUUCGGGAGAAGGCACGCUGAUAUGUAGGUGAAGCGACUUGCUCGUGGAGCUGAAAUCAGUCGAAGAUACCAGCUGGCUGCAACUGUUUAUUAAAAACACAGCACUGUGCAAACACGAAAGUGGACGUAUACGGUGUGACGCCUGCCCGGUGCCGGAAGGUUAAUUGAUGGGGUUAGCGGUAACGCGAAGCUCUUGAUCGAAGCCCCGGUAAACGGCGGCCGUAACUAUAACGGUCCUAAGGUAGCGAAAUUCCUUGUCGGGUAAGUUCCGACCUGCACGAAUGGCGUAAUGAUGGCCAGGCUGUCUCCACCCGAGACUCAGUGAAAUUGAACUCGCUGUGAAGAUGCAGUGUACCCGCGGCAAGACGGAAAGACCCCGUGAACCUUUACUAUAGCUUGACACUGAACAUUGAGCCUUGAUGUGUAGGAUAGGUGGGAGGCUUUGAAGUGUGGACGCCAGUCUGCAUGGAGCCGACCUUGAAAUACCACCCUUUAAUGUUUGAUGUUCUAACGUGGGCCCCUUACCGGGGUUGCGGACAGUGUCUGGUGGGUAGUUUGACUGGGGCGGUCUCCUCCUAAAGAGUAACGGAGGAGCACGAAGGUUGGCUAAUCCUGGUCGGACAUCAGGAGGUUAGUGCAAUGGCAUAAGCCAGCUUGACUGCGAGCGUGACGGCGCGAGCAGGUGCGAAAGCAGGUCAUAGUGAUCCGGUGGUUCUGAAUGGAAGGGCCAUCGCUCAACGGAUAAAAGGUACUCCGGGGAUAACAGGCUGAUACCGCCCAAGAGUUCAUAUCGACGGCGGUGUUUGGCACCUCGAUGUCGGCUCAUCACAUCCUGGGGCUGAAGUAGGUCCCAAGGGUAUGGCUGUUCGCCAUUUAAAGUGGUACGCGAGCUGGGUUUAGAACGUCGUGAGACAGUUCGGUCCCUAUCUGCCGUGGGCGCUGGAGAACUGAGGGGGGCUGCUCCUAGUACGAGAGGACCGGAGUGGACGCAUCACUGGUGUUCGGGUUGUCAUGCCAAUGGCACUGCCCGGUAGCUAAAUGCGGAAGAGAUAAGUGCUGAAAGCAUCUAAGCACGAAACUUGCCCGAGAUGAGUUCUCCCUGACUCCUUGAGAGUCCUGAAGGAACGUUGAAGACGACGACGUUGAUAGGCCGGGUGUGUAAGCGCAGCGAUGCGUUGAGCUAACCGGUACUAAUGAACCGUGAGGCUUAACCUUACAACGCCGAAG